rnacentral:rRNA from 1 species
GACGAACGCUGGCGGCGUGCUUAACACAUGCAAGUCGAACGGAAAGGCCCUGCAUUUGUGGGGUGCUCGAGUGGCGAACGGGUGAGUAACACGUGAGUAACCUGCCCUGGACUUUGGGAUAACUUCAGGAAACUGGGGCUAAUACCGGAUAGGAGCUCCUGCUGCAUGGUGGGGGUUGGAAAGUUUCGGCGGUUGGGGAUGGACUCGCGGCCUAUCAGCUUGUUGGUGGGGUAGUGGCUUACCAAGGCUUUGACGGGUAGCCGGCCUGAGAGGGUGACCGGCCACAUUGGGACUGGGAUACCGCCCAGACUCCUACGGGAGGCAGCAGUGGGGAAUAUUGCACAAUGGGCGGAAGCCUGAUGCAGCAACGCCGCGUGCGGGAUGACGGCCUUCGGGUUGUAAACCGCUUUCGCCUGUGACGAAGCGUGAGUGACGGUAAUGGGUAAAGAAGCACCGGCUAACUACGUG